UUUGUCACCAUCAUGCAUAUAGCUGGACUAAAAAGGAUUUGGAAACUUUAACAGUGAGGAAAGAAGGACCAACCUAAUAUACUGAAUAAUUUCCAUCCAAGAAAGACAAAUAAUCUGUGUUCAGACAUGGCCAGCCCUCAGACAAGUCUGAAAACCCCUUUCAAAGACCUGACAUCAUUCAAAGGCAACAUGAAGCGGCUGUACAGGGAGCGACUGGAGGAUGCACCUAUUAAAAAGCGGGUAAUGGCGGAGAUGCACCUGAAACGGCGCAGCCUGGAGAGCAUCCCCAAACCCCCGAAGGUUAAGAAGGAGCGUGAGGAACACGCCAGAUCAGAAAUGGACAUUGAGGAAAGAGAAUUUCACUUGGUCGGGGCUUCCAAGGCUUUAGAUCUAAGCGCCGGCCUCAAGCACACUCUGGCACAGUUCACACUGAGCAGCCAGAGCUCCCUGGGAGGUCCUGCUGCCUUCUCAGCAAAAUCUGUGCAGGAGUGCGCCUCUCCUGCUGGCAUGGCUCCCCUGCCGUCUCCCCCAGUCCUCGGAGGCGGCCCGCUCUUGGUUCCCUGUGACAGCUCCACAGAGCUCACCCAUUCUCUGCUCGAAGGAGAGUCCAUCUCCUGCUUUGUUGUAGGUGGCGAGAAGCGCCUUUGUCUGCCCCAGGUACUCAAUUCGGUUCUGCGAGAUUUCUCUCUGCAGCAGAUCAACGCUAUCUGUGAUGAACUUUACGUUUACUGUUCCCGAUGCGAUGCUGAGCAGCUGCACAUUCUCAAGGUACUGGGCAUCCUGCCUUUCAACGCACCUUCCUGUGGCCUGAUCACACUAACUGAUGCCCAGCGCCUCUGCAAUGCCCUGCUCCGCCCAGGUGCCGCCCUCCCGGCCGACCCCAACAGCAAACUGCCAUGCCAAGGCCUGCUGAAGGAGAGCGAGGCCAGUUUCCAGGUUGAGCACCAGUGUCUUGGCAAGUGCCAAGGCCUGUUCGUGCCCCAAUUCUAUGUCCAACCAGACGCUCCUUGUAUUCAGUGCAUGGAAUGCCAGCUGCUGUUUUCCCCACAGAACUUUGUAAUGCACUCGCACAAGUCCCCCGACAAGAGGACCUGCCACUGGGGCUUCGAUUCAGCCAAGUGGCCCUGCUACCUACAGCUGGGCCGCAAGCACGAGGACACACCAGAGGAGCCGCAACUCAAACAGCUGCUGGACGAGAUGAAGGAGAAGUUUCACUAUCAACCGAAGAGGCCUCUGGACAAAAAGGUGGUGGAUGACAACUGUCAAGGGAAGAAGUCCAGUCCUGCACCCUGCCCACCUAACAGCAAGCUGUCUGAUGGCAUCCUGGAAAAAAAGCUACCUUCUAAGGGCAACUUGCAGUCUUCGAUGACAUUCAGUAGACUGUUUCCUGACAUUAAAGAAGAACCGGAACACAGCCCUAUCGUCCACCCUAGUUACUACCUGUACAUGUACGAUAAGAUGGUGGCUCCUAACGUAUCCCUGCGGAAGGAGGGGGAGGUGAGCCAGGAGGUUCUGGGGGCCCUGCUCAAACAGCAAUACAGCAGGAGAACACUCAUCCACGACAACCAGCCCACCACAGAUCUUCCCACAUCUCAUUCCUCCAUUGCAGAGGAGGCCAAAUCCCACCACGCAGGCGAAGCGAACGAGCACCGCCGACCUUCUCCGUCAGUCGCCAUGGAGACUAGCCCGGGCGGCAAGCAGCACGCCCCCAUUCCCAUGGAGGGCAAAGACAGUGGAGCUGAGGAUGACAAGGACAGGAUCAUGCUAGAGAUUGUGCAGAUGUACCGGCGGCAGCAAGAAAAGCUGAAUUCCACCCUUCAGAAACAGCUGCAACUGGAGAUGGAGCUGGAGGCAGUGCGCGGGGGCGAGGCAGCCAGGCUGAGGGAGUUGUCUGCGGAGCAGCUGGAGCUGCAGAACGAGCUGGAGGCGGUGCACACUGAGCAUGCUCAGAGACUGGGGGAGGUGCGGCAGGAGCAGAGACAGCUGGAACACCGACUGGAGCAGCUCAGACAGCAGAGCUGCGCCUGUCAACCCAAAGAGCAGGAGGCACAGUACAACGCACAGCUAUGUGAGCUUCGCUGCCGUUUGGAGCGUGCCGAGGCGGAGCGGCAGGAACUGCAGGAGGAGCUCUGCAGAGAACGGGAGUCCAGAGAGAAGCUGGAGCUCAUGAUCUCGCAGCUUCAGCAGCAGACGGCCCAGUCUGGCACAAAGGGGAGCCGCAGUAGUAGCCCUGCCCAUCCCCCGACCCCCUCCGCAAGCCCCCAAUCCCAGCAUUCCCUCUCUUCACCGGGUCCUGAGGUAUCCUCCAGAUAAACUCCUCCUCGCACACUUCCAUGCCUGUAUCCCAGGAACACGCUCACCCACUCCCUGCAGAGUCACAGGCAAACACAAGACAACCUCUGCAGAAAAGAGCCGCUCUCCCAUUCCCUUUUUGUCACACCACCACAAAAAAAAAACGUAAGGUUUGUGUUUAAUGUAAAAAGACUUUUCGUGUCACCCUGCCCUCGACCAGUCGUUAAGCAUUUUUUUUGGAUGUACAUGUUUAAUCUAUAGUCGUGCUGAGAGGCUGAUGGGACAGUAGAGUUAUUUCUUUGUAGGACGCUUGCAUCCUGUUGCAUUGGGAUAGUGCUCGAGUGCUUUUCCGCUCCCAGCCCUUUGGUUACAGGAAACUGACACUCACUAAAAUGCUACGGAGCCCCAGGAUGCCAAACAGCAAGACGCCAUUGCACUGCAGCAGCAAGAAACCAUGUGGAUGUUUAAUUUUUUAUUUUAAUUUUGUGUCAUUGUUUCCUACAGAAAAAAUGGGAGAAGCAUCUUUAAAUCCUUAUACUUAAUACAAGAGAUUCAGAAACUUUCUGAGGCCCCCCUCGGAUCAUAAUCCUCUUCCUCCAUUUUCUUUCCCUGCCUGUCGUUUGUCUGUUCAGUCUGGUGCUGAUUAUAUGUUUCCUGUCUGCACUGCUGAUCCUCUGCAGGCUGGUAUAUGACAAACAGCUUAGUUCAUUCCUGCAUGAUGCAGUAAGCAAAGACUCACAUUCGCCCCCUGCUGGAGAACACUAUGAAACUCGGCCCCCAUUUAACUACAGGGAAAGGAGGUUCAUCUCACUCUUAAAUUUAUGUUCAGAGGGUUAUCUACGCAGCGAAAGAGUACCAGUAGCACCAAUAAGACCUCAGUGGUUGCAGUUAUUCAGAAAUUGCAAGAUCAACAUCCUAUUUUCAAACAAAGCACAUUGUAGACCUUACAUUUGUAAUUUUUUAAGGAUCCAUUAGUAGUGAAAUUAAAGAUGUAAACUAAG